GAGGAAAGUCCGGGCUCCUUCGGACAGGGCGCCAGGUAACGCCUGGGGGGCGUGAGCCCACGGAAAGUGCCACAGAAAAUAUACCGCCAGCUUCGGCUGGUAAGGGUGAAAUGGUGCGGUAAGAGCGCACCGCGCGACUGGCAACGGCUUGCGGCACGGUAAACCCCGCCCGGAGCAAGACCAAAUAGGGGAGCAUGUCCGUCGUGUCCGAACGGGCUCCCGGGUAGGUUGCUUGAGGUGGCCGGUGACGGCUAUCCCAGAUGAAUGGUUGUCGAUGACAGAACCCGGCUUAC
rnacentral:RNase_P_RNA from 1 species